CCUACGGGAGGCAGCAGUGAGGAAUAUUGGUCAAUGGGCGCGAGUCUGAACCAGCCAAGCAGCGUGAAGGAUGACUGCCCUACGGGUUGUAAACUUCUUUUGUACAGGGAUAAAGUGAGGCACGUGUGCCUUUUUGUAUGUAUUUUAUGAAUAAGGAUCGGCUAACUCCGUGCCAGCAGCCGCGGUAAUACGGAGGAUUCGAGCGUUAUCCGGAUUUAUUGGGUUUAAAGGGUGCGUAGAUGGGUUGUUAAGUCAGUUGUGAAAGUUUGCGGCUCAACCUUAAAAUUGCAAUUGAUACUGGCAGUCUUGAGUACAGUUGAGGUAGGCGGAAUGCGUGGUGUAGCGGUGAAAUGCUUAGAGAUCACGAAGAACUCCGAUUGCGAAGGCAGCUUACUAAGCUGCCACUGACAUUGAGGCACGAAAGCGUGGGGAGCAAACAGGAUUAGAUACCCGAGUAGUC
rnacentral:rRNA from 1 species